UUGAUUUCCUCCUCGUCAAUCUCCUCAUCUAUCUUUUGGACAUAGCUAUUGGGUUUGAGGAUUAAACAACAAAAAAUAGUUAAAACAUUUCUUUUCAAAGGAGGGGGAAAAGAAAAAAAUCUCAAAAUUACUUAUGUGAGAAAGGGGAAACAGAGGAAGUAAAGACGGCAGGGGAAGAGGGAAUACAUUUGGAAUUGGUAGAUGAAUUUUGAGAAGUAGUGCAGUCCUGAGAAUGUGAUUUAUAUAGGGUCGUGGGAGAUAAUAUUGGUGUCGAAGGUGACGAUGAAGUUGAGCAGUACUUAUGUGAUCCUUUCCAACCGGCUAUACUCUCUAAUCUCAUAUCACACCACCUUUGGGGUGUAAUGGAUGGUGUGAGAUGGGGUUGCAUAGCACAGUCGGAUGGAAAGGAAACAAAUUCGACAUUUGGGAGGGAAGAAGAUGGGGAAAUAAAACGGUAAUUAGGUUUCAAAUAUGGGUUUUUUGCGAUCCUCUUCCGAGAAGAGAAAUAAAAAUGAGAAAUUAUGCAUGGCUUUAGAAACAUGAUAGGAAAUAAUUAGGAAAAAAAAAGUCAUGAGGAAUCUCUUUGUUAAAAUUUCAAAACGUUUUCAAAGGAAUAAAUGGAAAUCUUAUAAUUUUUCAUUUUCUUCUAUGCUUGUUUUCAGUUUCUUUUGUGUAUCAAUUCUCUGAACUUGAGAAUUUCAUGAAAACGGACGGAGGGCAAUGGUGUGGAAGCAGGUGUGCCAUCAACCGAAUUGCAGUGGUGGUGAUGCACAACGGCGAGAUGGAGGUGGGCUUACAAUGGGAGUGGCAGCAGGGGUAAGGAAUUAAGUGGUGGAUGAUUGCAGAGGGCAGAGGUGUUAUGGCAAUGGCGGUUUGCAGCAAUAGCAGCUUGGUGUUGGGUGGCUAUUAUCCUACUUAAGCUAAUUUCUGAAGAAUAAAGUGCGUUUCAGAGAGCAAAAAUUAUCUUUUCCUAUAUUUCACAUUGGCUAAUGCAUUGCCAAAGAAGAUUGAUCAUAGAGGAUAUAUUGCUCUAAAAUAGGAUAUCCAGAAACCCUACAACACUCUCCAUUGAUAAUUUUUAUUUGCAAUUCUCCAGAAUUUGGCUUCAGUGAGUAUGUUUGGAUUUCACCUGAAAUAAGAGUUUCAACACCUUUCCUCGGUGCUAAGAUAUAACCAAUGUAUUGUGAUCAUGGAACUGAGAAAGUAGCUCCAAAGAAAACCCCUGAAAAAUAUCAAGUUCAGCAGCUUUAGCAUGCAGCUCAGUAGGCCUACUUUUCUUAUUUCUCGAAUCUGUAGCAUCACCAAAACAAGCCACUCCCAGACCUCCAGCAUUCACAGCGGACAAGGAGCUUUUAGGCGAUGUAGGCAUGGGAUGUAGGCAUGGGAAUACAUUUGGAAUUAAGUCUCUGAAAUCAGAUCCGGAUAAUCUCCAACCUCUCACAUGCAGAGGAUCCUAAUUCCUCGAAAUCACUGAAGUGGGGGAGUAAAAGAGCAACCCAGUGCACGAGGCUCCCGCUACUGUAGGGUCUGAGAGAGGCAAAAUCUGCUCUUUCCACACUUCCAGAUAUCUGGUGCCAGCCUUUAGAUGCUUUUCAUAUCAAGCUGGUGUAUGUUCUGAUUCACCUUCUCAGAAAGAAAGUAGUUUAUGGCAAAAGCAACCAAAGUAACAUGUGUGGAAGCAGUCAAUCUGGACUAAUCGGAAGCUAGAAGAUCUUGGUAUCCAUUAGUUGCUUGUAAAGAUGCAUUCUACCUCUUAUACCAAUAUCUUUACAAGCAAAAGUCCAUUUCUUUCUCUAAUUUCCAUGAAAGAAGAAGCAAAGUAUCCCCUUGGUCUGAUGAUCUUCCUGAGGAGGUUUUGGGUUUGAUAGCAUUGAGUAUUUUUGGGCAGGACUACUGCUCUUUUCGUGCUGUUUGUAGAACAUGGCGAUCCAAGGGAAAUCCAUUCCCACUACAUAUACCUCCAAUUACUCGGUCUCUAUUGCCAAUGACCCAGUCUCAAUGGCUUGUGUAUCUUGAGGAAGAGGACCAUAUAUUGCAUGUAUUUCAUCCCUGGUGCAAAGGCAGUCUCAUAGAAAUUCCAGGGUUAUCUGAUUCAAGAAUAUGCUCCUCAAGUGAUGGUUGGUUCCUCAUGUAGCAAUAUUCAAGGCGAGUGUUCUUUCUCAAUCCCUUCAGUAAGACUAUAAUUGAACUCCCGGAUUUUCCACGCCAAGAAUGGGACUAUCCAGAAUCCACAAACGGAAUAUGGGACAUGCACUUGCCAGCACUCUCCUUCUCAUCCCCACCAACUUCUUUGAAUUGUAUAGUCUUUGGCAUUUCAAGUUCAUGGUCGGAAGGUGUAAUUUCUAUUUGCAUAAUCCAUCACGGGGAAGCAAGCUGGACCAUUCACAAGUGUCUAGCCAAUAAUCGACCAUUCCUCCUAUCUAAUGCAAUCCAAUAUUCCAUAAUGGACUUGUUUACUGCCUUAGUGAAUAUGGAAAUCUUGGAACUUUUUGUCCACACAAGGACAGCAGGGAAGAAUGCAAUUGGACUGUUCUUGCUCAUCCUCUUUCACCAUAUUUUGUUCUAAACAUUCAAGAUGGAAACUGGUUUUUGGUACAAUGUAAUGGUAAUCUCUUUUCAGUGUUUCAAGGUCACAUGGGAAAGGGCGUGACCGUUUUCAGCCUGGAUUCCCAGAGGAGGACUUGGAAUCAAGUCCACAAUUUGGAAGGUCACAUGUUUUUUCUUACUAGUCAUACUUCACUCUCGACCAAAAUAGCUAAGGAAUUCGAUGGAAUGAGUGACAAGAUCUACUUUCCCAUAUUCCCCAUUUCUAGUGAUAGUAGUAGUAAUGGAGGCGGCGGCAUCAAUUCUCGUUCGUGUGUCUUCUAUUCUCUUAGUACUGAGAUGUACCAUUCUUUUGGCACUAGUCAUUCAAACACAGACAUAUCUAGAAUGAAAAUUCGGAGAAAUGUGCUUAGAUUGAACCCAAUUUUGUCCUACCUUCUAAUAAGGACCUUAAAUUGGGUUUCAAAUCGUCCACUAAUUAAAUCAGGUAUUAGCUUAUGUUUCUUGAAAUGUAGGGACAAGGGAUAACUUAUUACUAGUGCAACAAGUAUGAAAUAUGAAGUAAUGUUCAUUCAUUUUAUUUCUUAUACUACAACCUUUUUUGUA